rnacentral:rRNA from 1 species
UACGUAGGGUGCGAGCGUUAAUCGGAAUUACUGGGCGUAAAGCGUGCGCAGGCGGUUUUGUAAGCCAGAUGUGAAAUCCCCGGGCUUAACCUGGGAAUGGCAUUUGGGACUGCAAGGCUUGAGUGCGGCAGAGGAGACUGGAAUUCCUGGUGUAGCAGUGAAAUGCGUAGAUAUCAGGAGGAACACCGGUGGCGAAGGCGGCAUCCUGGACCGAUAUUGACGCUGAUGCGCGAAAGCCAGGGGAGCAAACGGG